AAAAAGAACCUGAAACCGUGUACGUACAAGCAGUGGGAGCACGCUUAGGCGUGUGACUGCGUACCUUUUGUAUAAUGGGUCAGCGACUUAUAUUCUGUAGCAAGGUUAACCGAAUAGGGGAGCCGAAGGGAAACCGAGUCUUAACUGGGCGUUAAGUUGCAGGGUAUAGACCCGAAACCCGGUGAUCUAGCCAUGGGCAGGUUGAAGGUUGGGUAACACUAACUGGAGGACCGAACCGACUAAUGUUGAAAAAUUAGCGGAUGACUUGUGGCUGGGGGUGAAAGGCCAAUCAAACCGGGAGAUAGCUGGUUCUCCCCGAAAGCUAUUUAGGUAGCGCCUCGUGAAUUCAUCUCCGGGGGUAGAGCACUGUUUCGGCAAGGGGGUCAUCCCGACUUACCAACCCGAUGCAAACUGCGAAUACCGGAGAAUGUUAUCACGGGAGACACACGGCGGGUGCUAACGUCCGUCGUGAAGAGGGAAACAACCCAGACCGCCAGCUAAGGUCCCAAAGUCAUGGUUAAGUGGGAAACGAUGUGGGAAGGCCCAGACAGCCAGGAUGUUGGCUUAGAAGCAGCCAUCAUUUAAAGAAAGCGUAAUAGCUCACUGGUCGAGUCGGCCUGCGCGGAAGAUGUAACGGGGCUAAACCAUGCACCGAAGCUGCGGCAGCGACGCUUAUGCGUUGUUGGGUAGGGGAGCGUUCUGUAAGCCUGCGAAGGUGUGCUGUGAGGCAUGCUGGAGGUAUCAGAAGUGCGAAUGCUGACAUAAGUAACGAUAAAGCGGGUGAAAAGCCCGCUCGCCGGAAGACCAAGGGUUCCUGUCCAACGUUAAUCGGGGCAGGGUGAGUCGACCCCUAAGGCGAGGCCGAAAGGCGUAGUCGAUGGGAAACAGGUUAAUAUUCCUGUACUUGGUGUUACUGCGAAGGGGGGACGGAGAAGGCUAUGUUGGCCGGGCGACGGUUGUCCCGGUUUAAGCGUGUAGGCUGGUUUUCCAGGCAAAUCCGGAAAAUCAAGGCUGAGGCGUGAUGACGAGGCACUACGGUGCUGAAGCAACAAAUGCCCUGCUUCCAGGAAAAGCCUCUAAGCAUCAGGUAACAUCAAAUCGUACCCCAAACCGACACAGGUGGUCAGGUAGAGAAUACCAAGGCGCUUGAGAGAACUCGGGUGAAGGAACUAGGCAAAAUGGUGCCGUAACUUCGGGAGAAGGCACGCUGAUAUGUAGGUGAAGUCCCUUGCGGAUGGAGCUGAAAUCAGUCGAAGAUACCAGCUGGCUGCAACUGUUUAUUAAAAACACAGCACUGUGCAAACACGAAAGUGGACGUAUACGGUGUGACGCCUGCCCGGUGCCGGAAGGUUAAUUGAUGGGGUCAGCGCAAGCGAAGCUCUUGAUCGAAGCCCCGGUAAACGGCGGCCGUAACUAUAACGGUCCUAAGGUAGCGAAAUUCCUUGUCGGGUAAGUUCCGACCUGCACGAAUGGCGUAAUGAUGGCCAGGCUGUCUCCACCCGAGACUCAGUGAAAUUGAACUCGCUGUGAAGAUGCAGUGUACCCGCGGCAAGACGGAAAGACCCCGUGAACCUUUACUAUAGCUUGACACUGAACAUUGAGCCUUGAUGUGUAGGAUAGGUGGGAGGCUUUGAAGUGUGGACGCCAGUCUGCAUGGAGCCGGCCUUGAAAUACCACCCUUUAAUGUUUGAUGUUCUAACGUGGACCCGUGAUCCGGGUUGCGGACAGUGUCUGGUGGGUAGUUUGACUGGGGCGGUCUCCUCCUAAAGAGUAACGGAGGAGCACGAAGGUUGGCUAAUCCUGGUCGGACAUCAGGAGGUUAGUGCAAUGGCAUAAGCCAGCUUGACUGCGAGCGUGACGGCGCGAGCAGGUGCGAAAGCAGGUCAUAGUGAUCCGGUGGUUCUGAAUGGAAGGGCCAUCGCUCAACGGAUAAAAGGUACUCCGGGGAUAACAGGCUGAUACCGCCCAAGAGUUCAUAUCGACGGCGGUGUUUGGCACCUCGAUGUCGGCUCAUCACAUCCUGGGGCUGAAGUAGGUCCCAAGGGUAUGGCUGUUCGCCAUUUAAAGUGGUACGCGAGCUGGGUUUAGAACGUCGUGAGACAGUUCGGUCCCUAUCUGCCGUGGGCGCUGGAGAACUGAGGGGGGCUGCUCCUAGUACGAGAGGACCGGAGUGGACGCAUCACUGGUGUUCGGGUUGUCAUGCCAAUGGCACUGCCCGGUAGCUAAAUGCGGAAGAGAUAAGUGCUGAAAGCAUCUAAGCACGAAACUUGCCCCGAGAUGAGUUCUCCCUGACCCUUUAAGGGUCCUGAAGGAACGUUGAAGACGACGACGUUGAUAGGCCGGGUGUGUAAGCGCAGCGAUGCGUUGAGCUAACCGGUACUAAUGAACCGUGAGGCUUAACCUUACAACGCCGAAG
rnacentral:rRNA from 1 species